GAUGAAGAACGUAGCGAAAUGCGAUACGUAAUGUGAAUUGCAGAUUUCAGUGAAUCAUCGAAUCUUUGAACGCACAUUGCGCCCGCUAGUAUUCUGGCGGGCAUGCCUGUUCGAGCGUCAUUUCAACCAUCAAGCCCUGUGCUUGUGUUGGAGCCCUGCGGCUGCCGCAGGCUCCCAAACCCAGUGGCGGGCUCGUCGUCGUACCGAGUGCAGUAAACAUACCACGCUCAGGGCACGCGACGGGUGACCGGCCGUAAAACCCCCCCCUUCUCAAGGUUGACCUCGGAUCAGGUAGGAUUACCCGCUGAACUUAAGCAUAUCAAUAAGCGGAGGA
rnacentral:misc_RNA from 1 species